rnacentral:ncRNA from 2 species
AUAUACGAUGAGCAAGUACGGUGCAUACAAACGUAUGCUGAAAAGGGAAGAACGGUGCAAAGCCGUCGCGGUACCCGCCACUGUGAUGGGGAGUUUCGUUGCAACGUGCCACUGAUUUUUUGGGAAGGCGCAACGAAAUGAUGAACCUAAGCCAGGAGACCUGCCUGCUUGCGAUACGUCGG